UCGGAUCGUAAAGCUCUGUUGUAAGAGAAGAACGAGUGUGAGAGUGGAAAGUUCACACUGUGACGGUAUCUUACCAGAAAGGGACGGCUAACUACGUGCCAGCAGCCGCGGUAAUACGUAGGUGGCAAGCGUUAUCCGGAAUUAUUGGGCGUAAAGCGCGCGUAGGCGGCAUGAUAAGUCUGAUGUGAAAUCCCCCGGCUCAACCGGGGAGGGUCAUUGGAAACUGUCAUGCUUGAGUGCAGAAGAGGAGAGUGGAAUUCCAUGUGUAGCGGUGAAAUGCGCAGAGAUAUGGAGGAACACCAGUGGCGAAGGCGGCUCUCUGGUCUGUAACUGACGCUGAUGUGCGAAAGCGUGGGGAUCAAACAGGAUUAGAUACCCUGGUAGUCCACGCCGUAAAC
rnacentral:rRNA from 14 species